CCUACGGGAGGCAGCAGUGAGGAAUUUUGCGCAAUGGGGGAAACCCUGACGCAGCAACGCCGCGUGAGUGAUGAAGGCUUUCGGGUCGUAAAGCUCUGUCAAGUGGGAAGAAAAUGCUAGAUGCUAAUACCAUCUUGCACUGACGGUACCACUAAAGGAAGCACCGGCUAACUCCGUGCCAGCAGCCGCGGUAAUACGGGGGGUGCAAGCGUUAUUCGGAAUUAUUGGGCGUAAAGGGCGCGUAGGCGGUCUCUAAAGUCAGAUGUGAAAGCCCGGGGCUUAACCCUGGAAGUGCAUUUGAAACUCAGGGACUUGAGUAUGGGAGAGGGAAGUGGAAUUCCUGGUGUAGCGGUGAAAUGCGUAGAUAUCAGGAGGAACACCAGUGGCGAAGGCGACUUCCUGGACCAAUACUGACGCUAAGGCGCGAAGGCGUGGGGAGCAAACAGGAUUAGAUACCCCAGUAGUCC
rnacentral:rRNA from 1 species